UGCAGCAAAUGACAAUGAUAAAGGCUCAAGCUGGGGUGAAGAAUAAUUUGAGAAGAUUGAACAAGAGCAUCUUUCAAAACGAAAAUGAGACUAAAAGGCUGCCCAGCUUCCAGGUCGAAAGAAAUGCUACUUCAGAGUUUCUUUGGACCCUCACAUGAUGCCUGAUUCUGCUGUGAAGAUCAGCUCCUUGAACCCCAGGGGGUUCGCAUAUCUGACUCUUCUAUAUGUAUGUGGUAUUUAGUUGGGUGAAGCGUCCUUCAUGAAAUUAAUUGUUGUGCCUCUGUGUGUGUGUGUGACUUCUCGUCGUGUUGGUCGGAGAAUGUCCUUACGGCUCAGGCAUCCUGUUGAUGGCGGCAUACUUUUGAUUGGCUUCUAAUAUUCGACUUCCGAAUUCUUCACGCACAACCGAUAAUUCUACAAAGGGUGGAAGUGAACUGCAGGACUCAUAGAUAUCGUCUAGUUUUAGAUGCAAGUGUUGUGUUUUUGUUCAAGGUUGCUCAAUUAAGUUGUGUGCAAGUGCGCUAAUUAAUUAUUUACUGUUUUUCCGAUUAUUAAUAUAAGACCUAUUUAACUAA